rnacentral:misc_RNA from 1 species
UUUUUUUUAGUACUUUUUUUAGCAUCAACGCCCAACAAUAAGAAUUAACUGAUUUUGGUAGUUGUAUUUGCUUUUGAUCUACUGAACCUGUUUCUGUUAAGUUGAUUUACCGAACCCUUGUUUGUUUCUAUAUCUAUGUAAUGAAAUUUCAUGAUGAGCUGGCGGUGCCCUGCACAUUCGAAAAAUAUCUGAUCCUGUAAUGGUUGGUUUUCAUUAAAUGUGUCUGAUCAAGCAUUUGAAAUAAAA